rnacentral:lncRNA from 1 species
CCACGAUGAUUGGUUGCAGGCUCGAAUACCAGUAGCAGAUGGCCUUCCUCAGGGUCGAAGGAAAAGCCUAGCAAAGGGUUGUGUCAGUUGCUCCUUGUAGGAGCAUAAGGGAUUUAAAAUUUUCUAAAUAGUUCCAUCGUAUGGCUCCAAUUGAGACAUUUUGAAUUGAGACAGUAACGAUUCACUCAUGAUCCUCUAUGUGAAUGGCGGGUCUAUGUUGAAAUCCAGAUCGGUGUCCUGUUGCCGUGGUGCUUGUAGCGCAUCAAUCCAUUGCUCCCAGAGCCUUCUCUCCAAGUCGUCCUCCCGAGUUGGGGAGCGGCGAGGAGAAAAGUAACCUGGUGUCAAAUCUCUUCUUGAGAUCAGGGUGGACGAUCGUCUAUGCCUCUGUGAAACUAGACUAUCAGGUCAGCUAAGACGGCUGGCACCCACCCUUGGGCUAUGGAGAGGUUGGUCAGCCGACCUUCCUAGGACAAGUUGUGGAAUCUCUAGAGCGGGAUGAGACUCGGUAUUCUACUACAUCCCCCUCACUACGCCUGAAAAAGUCUGCACCUGUUGGACGAGGCUAUUGUACUGGUCCUGAGAGACCACCGAUGCUGCUGGUAGGAGAUUCUCUUGGAUAGGCGAUGGAGGCAUGUUCUCCGACAGGGCAUUAUUGGCCUACCUACCAUUAGAACAAUACAACGCAUUCGAUGCUCUCCUUCGUAUCUUCAUGGCGAUCUACGGUAAACUCUCUUCUCUCAGAACAAGAUCCCGAAGUUAGUUGUGGGGCCCUUCCUCUAGCACCAAGUGUUGCUUUCGAUCUCUGUGCUUAAGAUCGGAUAGCUGAAGCGAAGAUGGCCGAAGUAAUGCU